GAAAAAAAUCCGAAGAUCGAUCGAUCGUGUAGAUCACCAUCGAGUCGAAAGGAAAGAAUAGGAUGGCCAACUUUGCUACUCGAAGAGAAACGAUAGCCAGCUAACGACCGAUAAAAGAGCAGAGCGCGCGUGACACGUUAUAGCGCGAUGCGACGCAUAAACGCGCGCACACCGAGGCGGAAAUGGCGCAUUGUGCGGUAUCCCUAUGGCGGGAUAUCUGCGAUUCUGGGUUGGAAGGCAUUCGACGCCACGUAUGCAGGUGAUUGCGUUCGCCAGUGCAAUGCGACUCGAACCAGGAUCCAGGCAUUUCGAUAUUAGAAUAGCAAUGAGUUAAUAAAGGCGGGUCGACGGUGAUGUUCGCUCGACAAGAUUGGAAAUUGCGCUCACCGUUCCGAUUUUUAUUCCUAAAAUAUUGUAAUUUAAGCCCAUGAUUUGCACGCAUAUCUGUAAAUAGGUGUUCUUUAUCGCGGUAGAGUUUAUCACCAUAAUUUGUCAAUUAUAUGCUGUAUAUAUAUCGC